rnacentral:lncRNA from 1 species
AAGAUCCAUCAUCUCUUCAUAAAUCCUCUAAUCUCUCCAACCCCCUCUGUCACCAGGACCUCCAUAUCUUCAGCACAGACGAGCACCAGGUAUUCGCGGGGCGGUGCAGGAGUGAAACCAGAAUGAUACCUACAACCUGUACCUCUCCAACAUCCGGGGCAUCCUCUUCACCCUGGCCAUGGAGAACGUCAAGACCACCCGCGGCAACCAGAUGCUGGACCUGUAUGAGGAUAAUUUUUGAUGGGGGGCUGCCGUGGAUCAGCUUCUCCUUGGUGCCUCUGUUCGUGGACGGGAUGCUGGCAGAGGCCGGGACAGAGAACCAGAUCAUGACGUGAGUAGGGACGAUGGAGGAUGAGAUGAGUAGUGACGAAUGAUGUAGAGAUGGGGGCAUGAUGUUAUUUUGUCCUCUGUUCUUUUGGGACCCUGUUCCUUUUGGUGAGGAGGGAGCGGGGGUAGCGAGAGAUGGAGAACUGGAGGGAGGAUGUGUUUCGACUCACUGUGCCGGGA